rnacentral:tRNA from 1 species
GCCUGGGUGGCUCAGUCGGUUAAGCAUCCGACUUCGGCUCAGGUCAUGAUCUCACAGUUUGUGGGUUCGAGCCCCACGUCAGGCU